UAUGCCUUCAUCCAUAUCUAAAAUAUGCCACCUGCAUCCUGUGGAUAAGUCCUUACUUCUGUUUUAGAGCAAGUAUGUGUGCCCUUGAAAUUUCUUAUGUAUCUGAAAGCUCACUGCCUUCUGCCUACUGAUUUCAGAAUACUACUUAAUUAAAAUGUGCCCCUUCAGCAUUUUUAGAUAUUUCUAAUUAAAUUUUAAAGUAUUUUUCUUUAAUGCCCACUAUUAAGGAAAAAAUCAACUUAAAAUAUUACUAUUAUGUAAUUUAAUUCCUAUUUAAAAUAUUUUUUCUGAAAAUUAUUUUCCUAGACAAUGUUAAAGGAUCACAUAAAAUAUUCUAUAAAAUGUCAACAAAAAAAUUUACGGAGACAUACCUCAUGUUAGAUAAUACAUUACAGUAUUACAGUUAAAUUAGUAUGCAAUAAAAAAUAGGUCCACUAGUAUUACUUCUAUAUAUUUUUAUGACAGUUAUAACCUACUUUAAUGUAUUUCUGUAUUUUGUCCAAAAAAAGCUAAUAAAUAGGCAAGAAAUAACUGCCUGCAAGAGAGAAUAUAGAAGAUGGGUUUCCUCACUACUCUGAAAUUCACCAAAGCAUAUUCAGUAGAGGGAACUGACAGUCUGCCUAUUAUGCAUAAUCCAAAUAGAAAUUUCACUGUUUACUUGCUUGUUUUCUCCUAUACAGAAACAAAACUUUGCAAACAAACAGCAUGCAUACAAACUACACCCUAAUUAGAGUUCUGUAAUUUUUAACAAGUACUUUUAGCCUUUGGUCUUGCCUAAUUUCACAACAGAAAACAGACCGUGAUAUUAAUGUACUGAGAAUAUCAAGAGUGGUAACUUACAGUACAGGACUAAUGUUUAUAUAGUAGAUGCACUACAUUAUUUUUAUUAAAUAAAAUAAGUAUUUUUAAAGUC